UACGUAGGAUGCAAGCGUUGUCCGGAUUUACUGGGCGUAAAGGGCGCGCAGGCGGCCCGUCAAGUUACACGUGAAAGCCCUCGGCUAAACCGGGGAGGGUCGUGUGAUACUGGCGAGCUAGAGUGCAGCAGAGGAUAGCGGAAUUCCCGGUGUAGUGGUGAAAUGCGUAGAGAUCGGGAGGAACACCAGUGGCGAAAGCGGCUAUCUGGGCUGUAACUGACGCUGAGGCGCGAAGGCUAGGGGAG
rnacentral:rRNA from 1 species